rnacentral:rRNA from 1 species
CGGUAAUUCCAGCUCCAAUAGCGUAUACUAAAGUUGUUGCAGUUAAAAAGCUCGUAGUUGGAUUUCUGCGGGGACGGAGCGGCCGGACGCAACUUGCGUCUCGAGCUAGCGCUUUCCCCGCAUCCUGCCGCGAACCGUGCUACCAUUAGCUUGGUGGCGCUGGGGAUCGGCUCGAUUACUUUGAGAAAAAUAGAGUGUUCAAAGCAGGCCACACGCCUUGAAUAAGUUAGCAUGGAAUAAUGACUAAGGACUUUGGUUCUUUUCGUUGGUGUUCGGGACUGAAGUAAUGAUUGAUAGGGACAGUUGGGGCGGUCUGUAUUCCAAAGCGAGAGGUGAAAUUCUUAGACCUUCGGAAGACAAACAGCUGCGAAAGCGUUCCGCAAGGAUGUUCCCUUUGAUCAAGAACGAAAGUUGGGGGAUCGAAGACGAUCAGAUACCGUCGUAGUCUCAACUAUAAACUAUACCAGCUAGGGAUCGGCCAACGUUUAAUUAUUCGACUUGGUCGGCACCUUAUGAGAAAUCAAAGCAUCUGGGUUCCGGGGGGAGUAUGGUCGCAAGGCUGAAACUUAAAGGAAUUGACGGAAGGGCACCACCAGGCGUGGAGCCUGUGGCUUAAUUUGACUCAACACGGGAAAACUUACCAGGUCCAGACAUAGGAAGGAUUGACAGAUUGAUAGCUCUUUCUUGAUUCUGUGGGUGGUGGUGCAUGGCCGUUUUUAGUCGGUGAAGUGAUUUGUCUGCUUAAUUGCGUUAACGGACGAGACCCCAGCCUGCUAAAUAGCGCGGCCGAGCCUUGCUCGGUGCGAGCUUCUUAGAGGGACCAUGAUGCGCGAUAGCACAAGGAAGUUUGGGGCAACAACAGGUCUGUGGUGCCCUUAGAUGUUCUGGGCCGCACACGGGCUACACUGGCGCCUGCAACGAGCAUAUCAGCUGGCCCGAGAGGGUCUUGGCUAAUCUUUGGAACCGGCGCCGUGCUUGGGAUUGACCAUUGCAAUUGUUGGUCAUGCAACGAGGAAUGCCUUGUAAACGCGAGUCAUCAGCUCGCAUUGAAUACGUCCCUGCCCUUUGUACACAUCGCCCGUCGCUCCUACCGAUGAAUGUUCCGAUGAAAUUUUCGGAGAGCGCCGGAGAACGGGGCUCUGCCCUGCAGAACUGGAGGCUCAAAGUCACUUAAAUCUGAACAUUUCGAGGAAGGAGAAGUCGUAACAAGGUAGCCG